CCUACGUGUGGCAGCAGUGGGGAAUAUUGGACAAUGGGCGAAAGCCUGAUCCAGCCAUGCCGCGUGUGUGAAGAAGGCCUUCGGGUUGUAAAGCACUUUCAGUGGGGAAGAAAGCCUUGGGGCUAAUACCCUCGAGGAAGGACAUCACCCACAGAAGAAGCACCGGCUAACUCCGUGCCAGCAGCCGCGGUAAUACGGAGGGUGCGAGCGUUAAUCGGAAUUACUGGGCGUAAAGCGCGCGUAGGCGGUCUGAUAAGCCGGUUGUGAAAGCCCCGGGCUCAACCUGGGAACGGCAUCCGGAACUGUCAGGCUAGAGUGCAGGAGAGGAAGGUAGAAUUCCCGGUGUAGCGGUGAAAUGCGUAGAGAUCGGGAGGAAUACCAGUGGCGAAGGCGGCCUUCUGGACUGACACUGACGCUGAGGUGCGAAAGCGUGGGUAGCAAACAGGAUUAGAUACCCUGUAGUC
rnacentral:rRNA from 1 species